AAAGUGGAGAAAGUAGGAGUGGAGGGGGGACGAGUUGACUCGGUGGUGCUGGAGGGGGGACAAGUUAUAAACUCGGACGCUGUGGUUUUGACGCUUGGGCCAUGGUCUGGUAAAUUUGAGAUGCUGAGUUCGUUAUUUAGAGUUUAUGGUCUAAAGGCCCACAGUAUAAUUUUGGAGCCUAAAGAGCUUGGAGCUAUAACGCCCCAUGCACUGUUUCUGAGCUAUUAUCCGGCUCAGGGAGGAAGGCCCAUGAACCCUGAAGUCUACCCUCGUCCUACAGGGGAGGUGUACUUGUGUGGAAUGUCAUCGGAGGUGGAAGUUCCAGACGAUCCAGAGGAGAUAGUGGGUGACCCAGAGUCGAUACGAGUGCUGAAGAGGGUGGCCACGACUGUUUCUAGCCAUUUAGCAGAAGGGGAGGCACGAGUCAAGGCAGAGCAAGCAUGCUUCUUGCCCUGCACCGAUAAUGGUAUUCCUGUAAUAGGGGAGAUUCCUGGGGUACGGGGCUGUUAUGUGGCCACUGGACAUAGCUGUUGGGGUAUUUUAAAUGGUCCUGCUACUGGGGCAGCAAUGGCUGAGCUUGUGGUAGAUGGAAAAUCUAGUAUUGUUGAUCUUUCUAAGUUUAGCCCUUCCAGAUUUGUGAGGCUUGGAAAGAGGUAGAUGCAAAUAAUUGUACAUGAUGUACAAUCAUAACUAGAUUGGUGAAUUAGCAAAUAGAGUUGUGUUUAUCAUUUUUGUAAAAAAAAAAA
rnacentral:misc_RNA from 1 species